rnacentral:rRNA from 1 species
UGCGGUAAAAAAGCUCGUAGUUGGAUUUCUGCUUGAGAUGACCGGUCCACACAAUGUGUGCGCAUCUGGUUCAGCUUAGGCAUCCUCUCGACAGACGUUUCUGCGCUUGAUUGCGUGGAGCGGAUUUCGGGACUUUUACUUUGAGGAAAUUAGAGUGUUCACGGCAGGCUAUCGCCAGAAUACAUUAGCAUGGAAUAAUACUAUAGGAUCUCGGUUCUAUUUUGUUGGUUUCUAGGAUUGAGAUAAUGAUUAAUAGGGACAAUUGGGGGCAUUCGUAUCAACACGUCAGAGGUGGAAUUCUUGGAUUGUGUUGCGACGAACUACUGCGAAAGCAUUUGCCAAGGAUGUUUUCAUUGAUCAAGAACGAAAGUAAGGGGAUCGAAGACGAUUAGAUACCGUCGUAGUCUUUACCAUAAACUAUGCCAACUCGAGAUGGGGCAUCGUUCACUUACGACUUGCUCUGCACCGUAUGAGAUAUCAUUUAGUUUUUGGGUUCCGGGGGGAGUAUGAUCGCAAGAUUGAAACUUAAAGGAAUUGACGGAAGGGCACCACCAGGAGUGGAGCCUGCGGCUUAAUUUGACUCAACACGGGGAAACUCACCAGGUCCAGACAUAGUAAGGAUUGACAGAUUGAUAGCUCUUUCU